GCGCGAUCGGCCAAUGAGAGCGCGCGAUGCCUAUUCUCCAUGCAAAUCUCCUGGUUUUUUAUUUGAAUGAGGGAUUUUGGCCACGCCUCCUGCCUUGAAAAAUGAGGCCCGUCUGCCGUGGUGGCGCUGCGGUCUUUUCAAUCGCGUCCGGAGGUGAAUUUUUUUCCGGUUGCCUCUUUUUUAAUCCUCGAGGUGUUUUUUUGUUUUGUUUUGUUUUUGCAUGGAGAUUCCUCAGUAGCCACCCCUCCAUGAAACUUGAGAAAAGAAGUAGAUUCAUGCAAUUUAGUUCAGUCUAGCAUUGAACUUGCCACGUAGCCCACACAGGUCUGGAAUUUGAAAUCAGUCGGCCUCAACCUCUCAAGUGUUGCUUACAGACAGAUCAGAGAACAAAUGUAAAAUCUCAUCAUCACGACUCAGGACCCACUUCCUGAACCACUGAAAGGUUUAAAUAAAGUUAACCAUAGGUCAAAAGGUGGAGCAAGAAACCAGUUGAUGGAGUGAACGUAGGAAAAAAAGUAAAGAGGAGUCAGGACGAUGAAGAGAGAGAUGCACAGGAAAUGAAAGGGAAGGACGUGCAGUUUGAGGGAUUUUUGAGACAGAGAACUGCCUUUCGGGAUGUUGGCUGAGGAAGAAGGUCAGGUAGGUGUUUUCUCUCAGCUAGCAGGUUUUCACCCCAGCAUCUGGCUCUCAAGUCUCCAUUGGUAAAUCGAAUGAUUGAGACUUUGUUAACAGCAACACCCCAUAAAAUUUAUGUUCUCUACUAGCACAUUAUUGUGACUUAAUUAUCAGCACCAUUCAACAUCUGCCCUGCUGCUCUGUCAUACUUGCUGUUAUAGUUUGGGU
ensembl:lncRNA